rnacentral:rRNA from 1 species
GAUGAACGCUGGCGGCGUGGAUAAGGCAUGCAAGUCAAGGGGGCCGCAAGGCAACCGGCAGACGAGGUAGUAAUAAGUAGGUACGAACCCAAAAGUCAUGAAUAGCUCAUCGAAAGGUGAGGUAAUACAUGAUAGUCCCUCCGGGGUAAAGAUUUAUCGCUUUUGGAUCGGCCUGCUCGGUAUCAGCUAGUUGGUAAGGUAAUGGCUUACCAAGGCAAUGACGCCUAGGGGGACCUGAGAGGGUGACCCCCACCGAUGGGACUGAGACACGGCCCAUACACCUACGGGUGGCUGCAGUCGAGAAUCUUCCACAAUGGACGAAAGUCUGAUGGAGCGACGCCGCGUGCAGGAUGAAGUCCUUCGGGAUGUAAACUGCUUUUAUAGGGGAGGAAAUUAUUGACGUUACCCUACGAAUAAGAGGUUGCUAAACUCGUGCCAGCAGCCGCGGU